rnacentral:sRNA from 1 species
ACUCGGACCGUGUCAACCGGACGCGACGGAAGUGGAGAAUGCGGGAAUUUUUCCGGUUUCUUCCCGCAACCAACGAAAACGGUAGUCGAACUCCCAACCCGUCCGGUUC